GGUUACCGGAUGUAAGGUGAAUUGUCUUAAGAGGGACAGAGUAAGUUGGGUUUGGAUGGGGAGGGCUAAUUUUGUUGAAACUGUUGUAAUUAGUUGAGCUUGGAACUUUUGAUAAGUAUGAUAAUGUUCGUUUUAUUGGGUUGUUGCGGCUUGACUUUGUUAGGUAUAAUAACUUGUGUUUUGGUUGGUGACUUGGGUUGGGGAAGUAUGAAGAGUAGUGGUUUUGUUGUUUAUAUUGGACCAAUGUAGGUUCCUGAGCAGGAUGGAUUAUAUAUGACUGUGUGGUGGAUUAAAUGAAGGUAGAUGUUUGUAUGCAGGUGAAACUAGUUGGUUGGAA
rnacentral:lncRNA from 1 species